UACGUAGGGGGCAAGCGUUGUCCGGAAUCAUUGGGGGGAAAGAGCGUGUAGGCGGCCAGAUAAGUCCGCUGUGAAAUCUCGAGGCUCAACUUCGAGCUGUCGGUGGAAACUGUCUGGCUAGAGUCCGGAAGAGGAGAAUGGAAUUCCUGGUGUAGCGGUGAAAUGCGCAGAUAUCAGGAAGAACACCCGUGGCGAAGGCGGUUCUCUGGGACGGUACUGACGCUGAGACGCGAAAGCGUGGGGAGCGAACAGG
rnacentral:rRNA from 1 species